ACUCCUACGGGAGGCAGCAGUGAGGAAUUUUGCGCAAUGGCCGCAAGGCUGACGCAGCAACGCCGCGUGGGUGAUGAAGGCCUUCGGGUCGUAAAAGCCCUGUCAGGUGGGAAGAAAAGGCCUUGAUAAGAAACGGUUGAGGUUUGACGGUACCACCAGAGGAAGCACCGGCUAACUCCGUGCCAGCAGCCGCGGUAAUUCGGAGGGUGCGAGCGUUAUUCGGAAUUACUGGGCGUAAAGCGCGUGUAGGCGGGGAUGCAAGUCUGAUGUGAAAGCCCUGGGCUUAACCUGGGAAGUGCAUUGGGAACUGCAUUUCUUGAGUACUGGAGAGGAAGGGGGAAUUCCCGGUGUAGUGGUGAAAUUCGUAGAGAUCGGGAGGAAUACCAGUGGCGUAGGCGCCCUUCUGGACGGUAACUGACGCUGAGACGCGAAAGCGUGGGGAGCAAGCAGGAUUAGAUACCCUGGUAGUCCACGCUGUAAACGAUGAUCACUAGGUGUAGCGGGUACUCAUUCCUGCUGUGCCGUAGCUAACGCGUUAAGUGAUCCGCCUGGGGAUUACGGUCGCAAGACUAAAACUCAAAGGAAUUGACGG
rnacentral:rRNA from 1 species